CUGAGUGUCCUUGGUUUUUUUGAAAUUCAUGUGAUUGUGUUAAGUUUGUAAUAUUGUACUUUCCCAAAUACAAGGUAUUGAACUACAGGAUAUAAAUUUUUUUCUCACCCAAUGUUUUUGGUGUGGUGGCACUGUUGUUUUUAGGAUGGCACUUUGAAAGAUGGGUUUGAGGGAGGAGUCAAUCAUAUCGAUCAGCGCAUUUUGUUUUCAGUGUCAACACAGCUGAUCUGAUAGGCAACAGAAACGGGACCAGUGUAAUGUACUUAGCAACUUGUAAAACGCACACGAGUAACGGUGUUUUGUUCGGUUUGAUUUCUCGCAGGGCAGCGGCAGCGCAGGAUUGGCAGAGAGAAACCACCACACGAGGGUAACUGGAAUACAUGCAAACGAAGCGACCGGCAGGAAGCUCAUUGGAGUGUUUUGCAGCGGACAAGAUGGGACUCGAGGCCAAGUAAGAGUAACCAACAAAGUACACUCAUCAAUGAAAGUAAUAGAAGUGCAGUAUUGUAGUUAAUUUUGUUGUCAUUGCAGGGCAAAGGUGCUCCCAGUAAGGACGGAUGGCGCAGUAGACCCAGCGCAGGGAUGGAGUGGGGCUGCCUGAGAGGCAACAAGAACCACCGGAUGAGGGUACGGAGUAUACAGACCUGCAAAGUUGGGAAAGUAGCGCACACUGGCGAUUUGUUAAACUAGGACCCAAGUCAUGAUAACCAACAAAGUAGGGUUCUGCAGGUAAUUUUCUUGUUGUUGCAGGGUGUAUGCAAAAGUUUUAGACCAGCACAUAAGUAACGGCGAGCGCUGUUUGGCAGGGUGGAAGAGGAGCCGAGCGAAAGGGAAAUCCUCUCCAAAGAUAAAAGUAGCCGGAAGGUGAGCUUUGCAGCACACCUCUGUCGAUGACAGGCGGUCGUUUGAAGUCGGAGCGGGCUUUUUGCGAGAACACAAUGUCCUCUUCUUUGUUUUUUGGUCUUUUCAGGGCGGAAACAGACCAAUCUACACAACCACGAUGUGGGAUUUUAGUUUAGGGUGGAUGGAAUAAGAACGAUCCCACAUCAGUAGAGUGCAGAGCCUUGAGGUCACGGGGGCAGUAGCAGGGACGCCCAGACUUCAUCCAGCCGAAGUCUUUCCAGUGUGUCCCAGAUCCUCUUCUUUACCACA